rnacentral:rRNA from 1 species
UACAGAGGUCUCAAGCGUUGUUCGGAUUCAUUGGGCGUAAAGGGUGCGUAGGCGGCGCGGUAAGUCGGGUGUGAAAUCUUGGAGCUUAACUCCGAAACUGCAUUCGAUACUGCCGUGCUUGAGGACUGGAGAGGAGACUGGAAUUUACGGUGUAGCGGUGAAAUGCGUAGAUAUCGUAAGGAAGACCAGUGGCGAAGGCGGGUCUCUGGCCUGUAACUGACGCUGAGGCGCGAAAGCGUGGGGAGCAAACAGG